UGUAUCUUAUAAACAUUUUUCAUCUGUGUUUCUAUAGAAUGAGUUCUUGCCAUUGUUCAGCCAGUUAGGAACAAAGAAGGAAGGACAGUAACAAGGAAGGAAGGGGUUGAAUGCUGUUAUUCGUGGUAGGCAGUGUUAGUUCCCUUCUCAAUAUCCUUUCUCCCUUUCUUCCUAAUUAAGAGAAGUCAGUUAAAUGUUCUCAGGUAAAAUUACUUUCCCAGCUGCCCUUGAAAUUAGGAAUGGCCAUGUGACUCCGUUCUGGCUAAUGAAACAGCAGAAAUCAUAAGGUGGUGCUUUAGAAAACUUUGUGGAGGAAGAAGCUUCCCGGGCACUUGUCUUUGCAUCUGUUCUUUCCCCUCCGGGGUCGAGCAGCACCUCUUGCAGCCAGGAGAACAAAGUCAUGUGCCAAGAAAGGAAGAGAAGGAAAGAGAAGGAACUUGGCCCAUGAACAGCCCUACGAGCCCUGGGCUGUCCUGUCUGUUAUGUUUGGCUGCUGUUAGUUCCUGAAGGAUUAGCCUGUUGGAAACCAUCAGCAAGGAAAUGCCUCUGCCCACUCUGCCUGCUGUGAGAACUUCUUAUUGAAAGGUCUUCUUGGAAAUCAGAAGAUCUGGCAACACUGGACAUGCAUUCCAUCAUGGUAACUUCUGGAGCUGAGUUGUAGUUGCGCCUGGGCUGUGCUCCAUAGUUCCUUAUGGCCUCCUAAGAGAAAGGCCUCAAUUAUGACCCAGGAAAUCAGUCUCUGGACUAAAUGGGAGUAAACAGCAGGUAGCAAACAAACAAGACACAUCAUGCUUUUGCUUGGACUUCUUCGGAUCAGCGGUUUCUUCUUUCGGAGUUCUGGUGAGGUAUGUUCUAAGUUUUCAGAAUGCCCACUUACGCUCUAAGUCAGAAAUUUC